GGUAACGCGUGGGUAACCUGCCUCAUACAGGGGGAUAACAGUUAGAAAUGGCUGCUAAUACCGCAUAAGACCACGGUACUGCAUGGUACAGUGGUAAAAACUCCGGUGGUAUGAGAUGGACCCGCGUCUGAUUAGGUAGUUGGUGAGGUAACGGCCCACCAAGCCGACGAUCAGUAGCCGACCUGAGAGGGUGACCGGCCACAUUGGGACUGAGACACGGUCCAG
rnacentral:rRNA from 1 species